rnacentral:rRNA from 2 species
GCCGGUGUUCUAUUUACGUGUGGCCCACCUCAUCCCAUUCCGAACUGAGAAGUGAAAGUACGUAAAACCGAUGAUACUCGGGGCGACCCAGGGAAAGUAGGUUAUGCCGGCA